GAUGAACGCUGGCGGUGUGUAUAAUACAUGCAAGUCGAGCGAACGGACGAGAAGCUUGCUUCUCUGAUGUUAGCGGCGGACGGGUGAGUAACACGUGGAUAACCUACCUAUAAGACUGGGAUAACUUCGGGAAACCGGAGCUAAUACCGGAUAAUAUUUUGAACCGCAUGGUUCAAAAGUGAAAGACGGUCUUGCUGUCACUUAUAGAUGGAUCCGCGCUGCAUUAGCUAGUUGGUAAGGUAACGGCUUACCAAGGCAACGAUGCAUAGCCGACCUGAGAGGGUGAUCGGCCACACUGGAACUGAGACACGGUCCAGACUCCUACGGGAGGCAGCAGUAGGGAAUCUUCCGCAAUGGGCGAAAGCCUGACGGAGCAACGCCGCGUGAGUGAUGAAGGUCUUCGGAUCGUAAAACUCUGUUAUUAGGGAAGAACAUAUGUGUAAGUAACUGUGCACAUCUUGACGGUACCUAAUCAGAAAGCCACGGCUAACUACGUG
rnacentral:rRNA from 1 species